rnacentral:rRNA from 1 species
AAAGGCGCUUUCGGGUGUCGCUGAUGGAUGGACCCGCGGUGCAUUAGCUAGUUGGUGAGGUAACGGCUCACCAAGGCCACGAUGCAUAGCCGACCUGAGAGGGUGAUCGGCCACAUUGGGACUGAGACACGGCCCAAACUCCUACGGGAGGCAGCAGUAGGGAAUCUUCGGCAAUGGACGAAAGUCUGACCGAGCAACGCCGCGUGAGUGAAGAAGGUUUUCGGAUCGUAAAACUCUGUUGUUAGAGAAGAACAAGGAUGAGAGUAACUGUUCAUCCCUUGACGGUAUCUAACCAGAAAGCCACGGCUAACUACGUGCCAGCAGCCGCGGUAAUACGUAGGUGGCAAGCGUUGUCCGGAUUUAUUGGGCGUAAAGCGAGCGCAGGCGGUUUCUUAAGUCUGAUGUGAAAGCCCCCGGCUCAACCGGGGAGGGUCAUUGGAAACUGGGAGACUUGAGUGCAGAAGAGGAGAGUGGAAUUCCAUGUGUAGCGGUGAAAUGCGUAGAUAUAUGGAGGAACACCAGUGGCGAAGGCGGCUCUCUGGUCUGUAACUGACGCUGAGGCUCGAAAGCGUGGGGAGCAAACAGGAUUAGAUACCCUGGUAGUCCACGCCGUAAACGAUGAGUGCUAAGUGUUGGAGGGUUUCCGCCCUUCAGUGCUGCAGCUAACGCAUUAAGCACUCCGCCUGGGGAGUACGACCGCAAGGUUGAAACUCAAAGGAAUUGACGGGGGCCCGCACAAGCGGUGGAGCAUGUGGUUUAAUUCGAAGCAACGCGAAGAACCUUACCAGGUCUUGACAUCCUUUGACCACUCUAGAGAUAGAGCUUCCCCUUCGGGGGCAAAGUGACAGGUGGUGCAUGGUUGUCGUCAGCUCGUGUCGUGAGAUGUUGGGUUAAGUCCCGCAACGAGCGCAACCCUUAUUGUUAGUUGCCAUCAUUCAGUUGGGCACUCUAGCAAGACUGCCGGUGACAAACCGGAGGAAGGUGGGGAUGACGUCAAAUCAUCAUGCCCCUUAUGACCUGGGCUACACACGUGCUACAAUGGGAAGUACAACGAGUUGCGAAGUCGCGAGGCUAAGCUAAUCUCUUAAAGCUUCUCUCAGUUCGGAUUGCAGGCUGCAACUCGCCUGCAUGAAGCCGGAAUCGCUAGUAAUCGCGGAUCAGCACGCCGCGGUGAAUACGUUCCCGGGCCUUGUACACACCGCCCGUCACACCACGAGAGUUUGUAACACCCGAAGUCGGUGAGGUAACCUUUUGGAGCCAGCCGCCUAAGGUGGGAUAGAUGAUUGGGGUGAAGUCGUAACAAGGUAGCCGUAUCGGAAGGUGCGGCUGGAUCACCUCCUUU